rnacentral:rRNA from 1 species
GACGAACGCUGGCGGCGUGCUUAAACCAUGCAAGUCGACCGAAAAGCCCUGGUUUUUGUGGGUGCCCCGUUGGCGAACGGGGGGGGAACAACGGAUGAACCUGCCCCUUACCUUGGGAUAACUUCUGGGAACCGGGGCUGAUAACAGCAAAGAACCUCUUGCGCCUGGUGGGGGGUUGGAAAGUUCGGCGGUUGGGGUUGGGACCGCGGCUUAUCAGCUUGUUGGUGGGGGUGGGGCUUACCAAGGCUUUGACGGGUAGCCGGCCUGAGAGGGUGACCGGCCACAAUGGGACUGAGGUACGGCCCAGACUCCUACGGGAGGCAGCAGUGGGGAAUAUUGCACAAUGGGCGGAAGCCUGAUGCAGCAACGCUGCGUGCGGGAUGACGGCCUUCGGGUUGUAAACCGCUUUCGCCGGUGAUGAAGCGUGAGUGACGGUAAUGGGUAAAGAAGCACCGGCUAACUACGUG